GGAACCUGAUGCAGCCAUGCCGCGUGUGUGAAGAAGGCCUUCGGGUUGUAAAGCACUUUCAGUUGUGAGGAAAAGUUAGUAGUUAAUACCUGCUAGCCGUGACGUUAACAACAGAAGAAGCACCGGGCUAACUCCGUGCCAGCAGCCGCGGUAAU
rnacentral:rRNA from 1 species